GACGCCUUUCCGUGGAUCGCGAAUCUCUGCCGCCCAUUUCCCCCACGGCCGCUGCCGUAUCCCCCUGUACAGAUUUUUCCUCUGCUUCUUACUCUUCGGACCAUUGUUCUUCGACACAUGCUCAUCGCCUGUGUAGAUUCCGGUAAUUGGAUUAAUUUAAACAACAAAUCUCUGAAAAUUAGAAGAUGAACCGAUUGAAAUUGGGUUAAAUUGACAGUAUCCGAUUACCUGCAGAGGAUCUGGAUCGUUUGAGAGGAGGAGCGUCGUUCUGGUCAGAAUAGCUGAAAGCGGCCGGCCAGAAGUCUGCGGCGGUGGGAAGGAUGUCGGUGGAUGAGACGUGGCGGCUGGGAAUAAGUCCGGCGAGGAUUGCACCGCCACACAUU
rnacentral:lncRNA from 1 species